GACGAACGCUGGCGGCGUGCCUAAUACAUGCAAGUAGAACGCUGAAGAGAGGUGUUUGCUCUUCUUGGUUGAGUUGCGAACGGGAGAGUAACGUGUAUGUGACCUGCCUGGUAGCGGGGGGUAACUAUUGGAAACGAUCGCUAAUACCGCAUAAUAUGGCUUAUCGCAUGAUAAUCCAUUGAAAGGUGCAAGUGCAUGAGUACCUGAUGGACCUGCGUUGUAUUCGCUAGCUGGUGGGGUAACGGGUCACCGAGGGGACGCUACAUAGCCGACCAGAGAGGGUGAGCGGCCACGCUGGGACGGAGACACGGCCCAGCCCCCUGCGGGGGGGAGCAGUAGGGAACCUCCGGGAAUGGGCGGAGGGGUGACCGUUCGACGCCGCGGGAGUGAAGAAGGUUGUCGGGUCGGAUAGCUCAGUUAUGAGAGAGGAACGAGUGGGAGUGUGGGAAGUGCACACAGUGACGGUACCUUAACAAGAAGCCACGGCUAACUACGUG
rnacentral:rRNA from 1 species